rnacentral:rRNA from 1 species
UGUUGUUUUCUCGAAAAUCAAUUAAAAAAGGCAGGAUUUUGUGUUGUAUUGACUUUAUCAGCUUUCUGCACUCUUUUCUUGUCUUUUUUAAUGCACUUUUCGUUUAACAAGUCAACAUCAAUUUCUUUUGUUGUAAAAGGGUCAUUGGAAGGUGGCUUUCUUUUCGGAGGAAGUGUUUAUAGCCUUUGGCCUCUGCAAUCGGAGAGAUUGAGGUCUGCAGCGUAGGUCCUUCGGGGUUAGAUACAUUUGUGCUAAGUUAUAGCCUUUCAUAGACAACUUGUUGACUAUGAUCAGUCAUGUAGCUUACUCGCUUAUGCUAUUUUACCUAC